CUGAAUCAUGGGGGCGGUUUCCCCCAUACUGUUCUCGUGGUAGUGAAUAAGUCUCAGGAGUUCUGCUGGUUUUAUAGGAGGAAACCCCUUUCGCUUGGCUCUCAUUUCACUCUUUUUGUGCCUGCCACCA